ensembl:lncRNA MIR124-1HG MIR124-1 host gene
GAAUGGGGCUGGCUGAGCACCGUGGGUCGGCGAGGGCCCGCCAAGGAAGGAGCGACCGACCGAGCCAGGCGCCCUCCGCAGACCUCCGCGCAGCGGCCGCGGGCGCGAGGGGAGGGGUCUGGAGCUCCCUCCGGCUGCCUGUCCCGCACCGGAGCCCGUGGGGUGGGGAGGUGUGCAGCCUGUGACAGACAGGGGCUUAGAGAUGCAAACAGACUCAGGGAGAGAAACAGAAGCUGAUUCUGUGACAGAAGCAGAUCUGUGCAGCACAGAUGCGGUGUGCGUGGGGAGGGGGUCGCCUGGGAGCGCAUUGCGGAGUGCUUGUGUGUGCAGAUUUUUCUCUGGGCUCAGGACUCAUUGUAUGUGGGUCAACACCUUCCUCCGUGACUGUGUUUUUGUUCUGAGCUGAGUUUUUUGGUUUGCCCUUAAAAAAAUAAUAAUUUGGCAUCCAGAGACUGGCAGACUGCCUCAGGGCCUGGACUGCGGAUAUAUUGUGUUCUGCUUGAGGUUUGGGGAGGAGGGCAGGCGGUAGGAAGGGAGAGGGGGAGCUGUUUGUCACACUUUGCUGUAGAGCUGAGAGCACCUGACAAGCUUAAGGAAGUCGUUGGGCUAUGUGGACAAGAAGGAGCCAGCUCCCAGCGGGUUCACAAGCUCUAUCGGAGUUGAAAGCGUGGUCAUGGCUCUAAGGAGCACCUCACGCCCUCCCUGUAGCUGUUAUUGCAGUUUCAGGCAGAGAUCCAGGAGCUGCAGAGGAAGGGAGAGGCACAAUAACCUACAUGGACCCAAGGGAGACAUGUGUUCCUUUAAAAAUGUGAACAGAAGGAAAAACAGAAUGUGUGCAACUGGGGGUCUGAGGAAAGACUGUUUUGAAAGAGGCUGUCAGGGAAUGGAAAGGGUUAAGCUUUUCAUCCUGAAGAACCUGCUUCCCAAAUCAGGCCUUCCUCCCAUCACUAGACCCUGAGCAGCAGCUGGUCCUAGAGACCCCCCUCGUACUGCGCUGCCACAGUCUCAUCCCAUUUCCAGCUCUGUAUUAACCACCAAGCUGCAGCGGAUGGGGCAAGACCUAAGCUCAUUAAUUUCCAGGUGGAGGAAAUGGAGGAGGGGCAGGUCCCUGCAGUAGAGGGAGGAGCAGAGAAAGGAGGCCAAGAGCUGGAUCCUUCUGCCCAGGAAGCCUGCUGCAUCCCUUCCCCCGAGCAUGGCAGAGGCCUGGCUUUGCAAGGCCAAGGCCAUAAGGGAUGCUUAGGAGAUUAAUUUGAUUCCUGACACAAUAAUCAAGCCCUAAGAGUCUCCACUGAAGCUUACUGAGGACUUCUUUCCUCUCCAAAGCCUCAGUCUAGCCUGCUAAAUAAAUUAGUAUUCAGUGAUGCCUUGGAUCAGGGCCCCUCCCCGGCCUCAGUUUCCCCAAAUAUUUAUUAAGUACCUACUGUGUGCAAUCCUUGUGUAAUUAUUACCUCUUAGGCUCUUCAUUUGCCCUCCUAAAGCAGUGUUUAGAGUCAGGCAGAGGUUAAGUGUGUUGCACCUCACCUAGAUACUUCCAGAACCUUCUCUGGGUCUGCAGAAUGUGGCACAACCUGCUUGCCCCCGCAGAGAGAAAGCUGCAGUGCACAUCCUGCAGACUGCAGGUGCUGGGCUGCCUCUGGAGUCCCAGAAGGCAAGCUUGGCUGCAGGACAGAAAGGGAGAACAGCUUCUCUCACCCCUGAGCCUUCACAAGCCCUUGUCUAUUUGCCGUUGCCUUCAAAAUAUACCUCCCCCGAAACCAGUAGCUUUCUGAGUCCUGGUGUCCCCUCCGCCCUUUCUGGACAGGUUUGGGAAGAAGAAAGCAGUCAGUGCUGGGCCUUAUUGGGGUGUGAAGCGCCUUGCUCUGCCCCUUCUGCUCACUGUGAAGGCCGCUGGAUGCUUCUCUUAGGCAUGGUUUAAGCCUCCGAUUACUAAACCCCUUGCCCCACAAACGUCCACAUUGACGAGCCUCUUUUUAGUAACUGCUUCCCCGUAAUUCCUUCAGAGGUUGCUGUACCCUUCGCUGAUGUGCUGCCCUCCUGUAAAACCUCCAGAUGCCUUCCCACGUAAUGCCCCUUUCAGAUGCUUUAAGCUGAGAGCUUAAACCACAGGUACCAUGGCUGACGCCUGCCAGGUUUCUGCUGCAGAUAAUCUAUGAUGGGAGGGGCAUAUUUUUUACUUCAUUACUUAUGUAAACUCUUGUUCCAGAAAGCUUUAAUGUGUGUGGGAGUGUUCUGGGUCUAUUAGGUCUGUGCGCAUGGGUGUGGGCAUUUGCCUGUGUCCACCGGGUGGGUCUCAUUAUGAAAUGUAUGUUUAUGUAGGGCUUUAAUGGCUGAAAAUGGCAAAGAGAUGAAUAGACCACUUGGCCCCAUGUGUAAUUGCCAGGCCCCUUCUGUGCUCAAAUGAGGUGUCCGAGUGAAGGUCAGCCCUUCCCUUCUGUAUUUGGGGCCUAUUUAUGCCACCAGUAAUUUUAUAAGAAAUCUGAAUAGUUCUCCCCUUUGAGUGCAUUUAACUCUUUAGUAUCUUCUCUCUUACCUAUUUGAGCCCCUCUAGCUACAGUCUGGCUUAAAUGAAAGGGGAAUUAUAUGCUUAAGAAAAAGUAGGACACGGUUGAGGCAGUUUGCUGACUGAAUACGCGAAGAAGGACCUGAUGGGCUCAUAUGCACCACUGCCAUCACAGUCCCCAUCGUGAUGCAAGCUUAUAUGAUUCUUGAGAAACAGCCCAGAUCUCCUCUUAAGCGGAAAAGAGAUUGACCUUCUAGCAGAGGCAAAGGUAAACUCCUGGCCCACGAGUCAACAUGAGGAGUUGUGCUGGUGGUAUGUGUGUUGGAGGCUGGGCUGGCUGAUUCACAGUGACGAGGAUGUCAAUAAUAACAAGAAUGAGAAUGAUGAUACCUAAUAAAGACUUUUUUUCCCAA